GCCCCUUUCACAGCUAUUUCCCCACGACCAAGAGAAAAUAUUUCUCUUCCUCUGUCAACCCAUUUCUUUUCCUCUCUCUAGGAAAUCUGUCCUAGAGUUUGGAGCUUAAAGGAGCAAGCUUGGAGGAGCUUCUUGAGGAGGAGAACAAGCUUCUUGGGCAAGAAAAAGCUUGGAGAAGCAAAAGCGAAGGUGGAGGGUUUAAAAAUAUUUUGACCCUUGAAAACUCUAAUUGGAGAUUGGAGAAACUCGUGAGAUAGCAAAGAUUUGAGGAACAAUAAAGUAUUGGCGGCCAAUUUGAAGAUU